rnacentral:rRNA from 1 species
UACGAAGGGUGCAAGCGUUGCUCGGAAUUAUUGGGCGUAAAGGGUAGGUAGGUGGUCUCACUUGUUUGGGGUGAAAGCCUUGGGCUUAACCUGAGAAGUGCCCCAAAAACGGUGAGACUAGAGUCCUGGAGAGGGUCGUGGAAUUCCCGGUGUAGCGGUGAAAUGCGUAGAGAUCGGGAGGAACACCAGAGGCGAAGGCGGCGACCUGGACAGGCACUGACACUCAACUACGAAAGCGUGGGGAGCAAACAGGAUUAGAUACCCUGGUAGUCCACGCUGUAAACGAUGGGUACUAGAUUUGGCGGGUCUUGACCCCUGCCGAAUCGGCGCUAACGCAAUAAGUACCCCGCCUGGGAAGUACGGUCGCAAGACUAAA